GCCGACGUAGCUCAGUCGGUAGAGCAGCUGAUUCGUAAUCAGCAGGUAGGCGGUUCGACUCCGCCCGUCGGCUCCA
rnacentral:tRNA from 3 species